UCUCUCUGGAACCGUUACAGGAUCAAUUUAUUCACAGCCAUUAACGAGAUUCUUAAAUUCGACCCACGCUGUAACCGUGAUUUCUCAUUCAUUGUAUCUUUCUAACUUCAAGGCUGUGCGUCUCCAACUAUAAAAAGAGCAAAACAGAGACCAUGAAUGGAAAUUGAAGGAGAGGAUCAGAAACUGAGUCUUCAUCAAGACCUUGAGUCUAAUAGCCUACGAGGACCAGGUUCUGCACCCCAAGGAUCGGACAAACAAUAAUCAAGAUGCACAUAAAGAGGUGAUGAGAGAUUCAGAGACGCUAGAAAAUCUGCAGCUUGAUAGGAAAAGCUUCCAAGCUUCUUUCCAAUAAAUCCAAGAUUGAACUUUUGAUUGGUUUAAUUGUGAUGUUGGAAUGUGUGGGAUAUAACAAGUGAAGAAGAAAGGAAAGAUUGAUAUUUUAAAUAUAUAACGACCAGUUACUCUCAUCCAUAAAAAAAAACAAUCUUAGUGGGUGGUGUUGUCUUAUAAUGCUAACGAGACAUGGUCUCAAUGCUAUAUUGCUAUCAUAUUAAUGUGUGUAUCGUUUUUUCCUGUUCAUAAAGUAUUAGUUGAGCUUCUUGUGGUGUUUCGCAUGUAGCUUAUCUUUACUUCAAAGAAAUAUCAGUGAUAUUGAUGACAAGUUCAAGCAUCUAUUCUGUGACAUAGCCUCUCCCAAGCGACUUAUUUGACAUGGAGAAGGAGCUGCAGAAGAUUGGUUUUAAGCCGGUAAGGAACACUGCACAGAAAAGAGCUGCUGCACAGAUCCAAGGCAUAACGCAAAAAACGAGGCAAGCCUCACCAGCACACCUCUUCCGUAUCUCUUCCAAAGCCUCAAGGCCAACAGUUCCUGAAACUAACCUCAUAAAUGAAUGAUGUGCUAUUUGAAAAUCAUACUGAUCCAUAAUUUUCUUGCUA